ensembl:lncRNA
CAGAAGAGGAACUGCAAAAGCAACUGCCCGACCAGCCGCAUAUCGCUUCUUCUCUCGCUCCUGACAAUUUUUCCCCCCACCAGCAGAUGCUCUGGAAAAACCUGCGCUUUUGCCGGGAGCCAAGCUGCGACACAGAGCUUCACAGCAUUUUUUGUAGUUUUUCCCUUUAAGUAAAAAUAACUAGCUCGCUGCUGUGUGGGCUCGUCUGCAUAUUUCCAUUGAUUCGGAAGUUAUUAGUUAGUCCAAGAGUGAGCAGAUGGCGAGACGCGAAAUCUGCGCCAGAAAGACUGCAAUGGAGCGGCGGAUAACCCUAGAUGGCACAAACACCAUGAAGUAUCACGGAGCCCAAUGGACAGGCGGUGGAUGGGGGAGAGGGGGGCAGAGACAGGGCAGUCAAUCAGCUGUUAACGCUGGAUGAGAAGUCUCCACCUGUAUUUACUCUAGAAGACUCUAUAGCACUGAAAGGAGUCCAAUACAGCAAACUUCUUUGUCAGUUUCCUGGUUACCAUUUUGUGCCCUGCAACAGUGAAGAUAUCAGCAAGAUGGAAACUCUGGAACAUAUGUCUAUGUUCUCAAAGCAUCGAUUUCAGAUGGUAUGGAACCUAAAAGUCUGAAGUCUUUCUGAUUAGAUAUCCAGCUUUUCUGAACCACAACUAUUUGUACCAGGAGGCAGUGUAAAAAAAAAUCAAUUUUUAAAAAAUUCAUAUUAUUUUCUUUUAUUAUUGUAGCACUUUCCCAUGUUUUCAAUCUAAAUACUGACUACAGUACUCUACUCCAAUCAUCUUCUUUCCCACCUCCUUUGAGCCAAUCAGCUUUCGCUUUGCAUGGUUUAAAUCUGUGCUCUCUGUCAUUCUCCAUUUCCAACUGCCAUUCGUUCAGUCCACCUCCUCCCCAUCUCCAUCUGACAGACACCUCAGUCAGAGCUCCAUCCAAGCCUCAGUCUUCAUCUUCUAGACUCUGGGGUGGUCCUGUCCUAAAUCCUAUCACUGCUGGGAUUCCAUUCUGCAAUGAUGGGUCAUCAGAGUCCAAUCACCACAUAUAUUAAUUUCUCAAUCUCAGUAAAUCCUGUUCAGUUCUUUAAAGUGAUCUCUCCUUAUUGAAAUAGCAUAAUUACCAUUGAACUAUGCACUUUGUCAAGUAUAUUGCCAUAGCGUCUGUUUAGGUUCACUUCCUAAAAUCGCUCUCUGGGUAGUCACAUCCCUGUCAUGGUCCGGAGUCUGCGACUCCGUGUUUAUGUUUAGUCUAUUAGUAUUCUGUGGUUUUGGUUACCUUGGGUGUUUGUAUUCUUCUGUUCAUGUUCCUAUGUUCUGUGUCCCCCAGUCUGUGUUUAGUUGGUGUGUUAUGUCAUUGCGUGUAUGUGUUUCCUGUUUUAUUGUGAAGGUCUGCGUCUUAUGUGAGUGUUUUCAGUUUGCCUCCCUAGUCUCGUCACGAUAAUCACUCCCAGCUGUGUUCCCCACCUGCGUGUAAUCUCCCUGUGUUCUCUGGGUGUAUUUAAGUUGUGUCUUCUGUCAUGGUAGUUGCUGGUUCGUCUGUGUUGUUUCCCCUCGGUCUCCCUGCGUCUUCCUGUAUGUAUUUCUCCGGACCUCCCUGCAUCCUCGUUUCUGGUUUGUCUUAUUAGUUUACCCAGUUUAGGUUUCCAGUUUCAUGUUUUGUCGCCACCGUUGUUUGUACUUACCCACCUCUGUGAAUAAACACUCACCUGCACCAGAGCUGCCGCCUUUUGGUCCCUUUCUACAAUUCCACACGGCUUGCCCCGGCAAUCCGUGACAAUCCCACAUUAAAAUGUGAAGCCUAGAGCUUCUUAUAA